rnacentral:rRNA from 1 species
AACGAACGCUGGCGGCAGGCCGAACACAGGCAAGGCGAACGAGACCGGCGGGGCGAGGGGCGCACGGGGGCGGAACGCGGGGGAACCGGCGCGGAGGGGGGGAAGAACGCCCCGAAAGGGGGGCGAAUACCGGAUAAUGGCUUCGGACCAAAGAUUUAUCGCCUUUGGAUGGGCCCGCGUUGGAUUCGCUCGUUGGUCGGGUCAAAGCCUACCAAGGCGACGAUCCAUAGCUGGUCUGAGAGGAUGAUCAGCCACACUGGGACUGAGACACGGCCCAGACUCCUACGGGAGGACGCAGUGGGGAAUAUUGGACAAUGGGCGAAAGCCUGAUCCAGCAAUGCCGCGUGAGUGAUGAAGGCCUUAGGGUUGUAAAGCUCUUUUACCCGGGAUGAUAAUGACAGUACCGGGAGAAUAAGCUCCGGCUAACUCCGUG